UUCAAAACCUUCGCAACGAAGCAAGUUUUGAGGAAAUAAUGCAAGGAGCGAAUGAAAAAUAGAACAAUGUAAUUUGAAUCCCAUUUCAUUACCAAUAAUGAAGAGAAUACCAAGAAAGUACAUAGGUUCGGGAGAAGAUUGGGUUCCUGAAGAUAUAAAUGUUUAUAUUACAGGAAAGAAUAUUUUGCCAUAGUUGAUGCAGCUCUGAAAGGUUUGGAAUCGACUUUUGCUCAGGUCGAUCUCUUGUGCCUUCGGAAAUUAGAAGAUACAUUGUUAUCAAGUAUGGACAAACAAAACAUUACCAGUCUACUUCGAAAUUAUUCAGAAAUAGAUGUCGCAUCGUUUUCAGUUGAGGUGAAAAUGUUUCUACAGAAGUAUGGUGUUUCGUGUGUCAGUGAUGUUCGUAAUAUAUUACGAAAAAUGUUGCCAGAAGUUAGGGCUUUGUUUAAGAAUGUUGAAAACUUAGUGCGCCUCUUGAUUGUGGUACAUACUUCUUCAUGCGAAGCUGAACGGAAUUUUAGCUCCCUACGAAGACUAAAAACAUUUUUAAUAACAGCAUGACUCAAAAACGUUUAAAUAAUGUUAUCAUCUGCCACACACACCAAGAUUUGCUAGACCUUCUCAACCUGGAAGAGUUAGCAGCAAGAUUUAUUGCAGCCAGUCACAGUCGCAGGGCAAUCUUUGGUCCAAUCAGCAUUUCAAAAUAGGUAAGUGAAGUGAUAUAUGUUAACACAAUUCAGUAGUGCCUGUCAGUACAUGUGAUACGUUUUUGAGUUGAUUAUUCCUCUAAGUUUGUUAUCUGAGUACAGAAUUUAAUUUAUAAACAGCUACGAAUGACUUUACCACAGAUUGUCGCAUGAACAAAAAAAAAAUGGUUCAAACUGAAACUUGACAGAGGUAGCAUUAAAAAAAAUUUUUUAUGUCCCCACCAAAAUUUAUUUGCCAGAGACGCCAAUGAUCAUACUGAUUCCUAACCAGACACACAUAUAUAAAUAAAUUGUGUUACACUUCAAUUAAUUUGGCCAUGAAUUAAACCUGAUAAACAAUGCAAACAAGCGAAACUCUACAGAGUAUCGUCAAAUAAAACCUGGGCCAAAAGUAAAUCAAUAUUUUAGUGCUCAAUACAAUUCGAAAGAAAUGGAAGAUUUUUUGUAGUAUUAUAAAUGAUCAUACAAGGAUUGCUGAUUUGGUUUUGUAUUAAUUUUGAGCGUAAAACUACCCCGAAAAUAUUGAAUAAAUUUUUCAGUUAAGCUGCAUAUAAACUGAACUGGUUUGCUAGCUGUCUUGCCAUCGUAAACAUGACUAUGAGUCUGAUUGGCCAUGUUGGUGAUAGGCACGAUUUUCAAGGCUGUCUCCCGAUAUUAUAUGAUAUGUGUUUUAUUUUUAUACAAAAUGAAGCACGAAUAUGUUUUAUAUUUCUUGUGUGAGAUACCAGUUGCAAAGACUUUGCAGUUUGAUUUUAUGGGUAGUGAAUCAGUGGUAUAAAAUAACUUCAUUUAUUUUUUCCCGAUAACAUCUUUUUGACAUUAGUAUAAUUUAAUCACUCGCCAAGCAGAGAACCUUAUUUUUUGUAGUCACGGAAAAAAUUGUUUGUAUUCAAUAUCAGCUAAUAACUUACUAUUGCUUAUGUCAUCAAAUACAUUUACAGUAGGUACUGUUCAAUUUGUACAAGCAUGAAAAGUAAACAAUAAUUUCUGCAACAACGUUCUUCCGAAAGAAGGUAUACACCGAUUUUAAAGGUGCGUGCCUAUUUCUUAAUUUUAUUUUUUUAGUAAUUAGAAAAUAAAAAUCGGUACUUUUCCGAAUUUCCUCAUUGAGGCUGCGACCCAAAUUUCCAGUUUCCAGCCCUUUUGGUAGUGGAUUGGAAUUUGUAUAGGCCAGUGUGUGAGCGAGUGAAUUACUUUUUGCAUAUUCGAGCAAAUACAAAAUUUAGGCAAUAAAGUUUAAUUAUAACAAUUUCACGUAAGCUAGAAAGCUCAAAGGCUGGUAAAACAAUACAAUUUUAUUUCAUAUAAUUCUAGAUCAAUUUCAUCUAAGUAUAACACACCCAUUUACACACAUUUUAUAUACAUAAUAAUUUUACUUCAGCAAGGUCUUCGGUUUCUUGUAACACAAAUAAAAUUACCUAAAAAAAAUUACUGGACAUACUUAAAAAAGUUUUUAAAUUGUAAUAUUUGCCAAAUAAUUUAAAUAAAUCUAACUGCAAAUGUAAGAACACAAUAAAAAGGUCUUUAAAAUUGUAUUUUGGAAAAUUAUCUGAAUUUUUAUUUGCUAAAACUCCUCAUUUCACUUGUUCAAAAGUAUUUACAUGUAUACAUAUGCGUGUGUGUGUGCGCGCACUCGGAACUUAUGUUUCUUUGAUCAUUUAUAGUUGCAAUUAAUGUAGCGGAAGUUAAAUUGAAAAAUAUUCAAUUAUUUCAGGCCAAUAUUUGUUUACAAAGAUAAUUUUACAUGACCCCAGAAGAAAAAGAAAAAAAAAAUAUAUCGCCACUGCCUUGUAAUUGUGUUUCUAACGAACUUGUGUAACUAACGAAAAUGUUUAACUGCUCAAGGUUAGUGAUACAAUAAAUGCUGGGUAGUGAAAAAUCUAUUGUUAAAAACCAAAGGUAAUUUUAAAUGACUUUCAGUUAACCAUUGUUCAACGACAGCAUCGAGAGAAUGGCCCUUAUUUUUGUAUCGUUAUACACAUAACUAAAUCAUUACGGGAGGAAGUUGCCAUAGGCGGCUGAUCCUUCAGUUACUAUUUUUUUUUAAACAUCUUGCAACCGCGCUGCUGCGUAACUCCCGCAACAGCGCGAUUAGCAACUCUUCCCCACACUCAUGCCCCAAGGCCAACCAAAGGUAAAUAGCUUAUUCCCUUAUUCCCCGGGCAAUGUGUGAGUACCAUUAUAAAAACACAAAAAAUUAAGUGCAGUCAACAUUUACUAUCAGACCUACCUAGGAUUACAACCCCCUCCACGUAUACAUUUCAUGAAACACAUAGAUACAAAAAAUAUAUAUAUAAAACUAUAGUUAAACAAAAAUCUAAAGUUUUUUUUUUGUCCUGUGUGCGCACUUUCCCGUUUGCUCGCGGCUCAUACGGCAGUCCUCAUGAUAAUACGUAAACGUACUUGAACUGUGUCCGUGCACCCCAUCCAAAUUAUGACUAUGUGGGCCCGAGUGACAAGUUCAUUAACUUCUUUAAGUUCAUUCAUCCACUACCAAAAUUAUUGCAGGUCCUGAAGAAAGUCACAUUAUGUUGUGAAUCACAGUCUAUUUAGCAUUUAGUAUUUCACAGCCCCGACCUUCGCCUAUUCUGGCCAUAACAAGUAUGAGCGUCGACUCCUUACUUUGAGCAUGUUGAGUGGGGCCCCAGCUGGUGGUCAACGCGCCUCCGCGCCGUUGCCACACCGCGGGCCAGACGGUCGCACCGAACCAUCCUCCUGCUGUCGAGUCCGGCUUGCAAGUCCCGUACCGCACACUCGCGCGCCACCGCUGAGCGCGUCACUCGGCUACGUCACCAUCAAGCUUCUUCGGCCGUCCUCGGGUACACUCGAAACAACGACACCCACACAUGACUAGACGGCCGUUGAGCAAACGGUUUUACGUUCUUAGAGUCCUCCUAAUGCAAUUAAAUAAAAAAAAAACUAAAAAACAUAACUGUGAAUAAUGAAAUAACAAUAACCUAAUAAUUAAAUUAUUAAUUACAAAAACAGUUACCGGAAACGGUAACAAUCUCCGCGCCCAAAAAAAAAAGAAUUUGGUUUCCACGAUACCUUCAUUCAAAACAACCGAUCAACUCUCAGACGCUAACGUAAACAUCAACAGGGCAAGAGGAAGAGAGAAGCUCAGAAAUCGAGAGAAAAACACACAAGACACCAAAAGGGAACUCUAAAAGCACAACAAACAGUUAACAAAAACACUCAAUACGAAUAUCUACUGGAAACCAAUUUCUUGCGCAAACAGCCUACUCAUCAAAAAAAAAAAAAACUAAAAUCACAAUGAAACCACGUUCCAACGUAAUGGGACAACAUCCUAAACAAACAGACCUUCAUUUAGCUCUCAGCUGGCUUAACGCCACAGAACUUUGCUAUAUGUCCCUUUUUGUUACAUUUUUCACAUUGCAAUGCCGAUUUAUUGCUACCCCCGCUCACAACUUGAGGCAUAAUGGCCUUUCUCUCCACACUUAAAGCAAGUAAUAAGGCUUACAAUUCGUUUUGAACCUUGACGAAGAUGUCCUCUUCGCACCGAUGUCUCUCUUGGGUGAGAGCCAGGUAUCGGGUGGAGAAGGUCCAACUGCAGGUCUUGCGGCAGGAUUCACACUCGGCUGGUGUAGGCGAAUAGCUAGUGGGGUGAGAGAUAGGGACUAAACUAUUGAUUGGAAAUAAUGUCGGUAUUUUCACGGAACUUUUAUUGACCUGAAUUGUCGAAACAGUUCAAUUUGUUGCCUGCAUCGGCUUUUACAACAUACACUGAAUUGAAACACACGGUAUACCCUAUCGUCCAGAAAGGGGGGGGGGGGGGGGGGGGGGGGGGAAGGGAGACAAAUUCCCUAUGCUGAGAUAGGUCCUCGGAUGGCCUAACUCGCGAAGGAGGGGUGCGAGCAGCAGAAAACGGAUAGCCAGUAGUUCUGCUGCUCCCCCUAUGAUCGUCCUAUGGCCAGUGGGCGGAAUCCAGCCUCACUGGCCGUCGGGCCGAUCAACUGACUUCAGGUGGAUGACCUCGCCUUUAUAUAGGGAGAAAUGCGCGGGAACGAAGAAAAAGAAGGGAGGGGCGAACUAACUCCUCUUUGGAAGGGAUGAGAUGCACGCGCACGAACUCUCGCCGAAAUUUCCCUGUCCUGGUGGUGGAAGUAUAAACUAGAUAUUAAUAAUUAAAAAGAAAAGAUAAACUUGACAUAAAUAAUUAUAUUGUCACGGUCUGAAAAUUUCAUUACUUUUUUUUCUUAAAUUUUAUUGUAAUUUUGUUUCUCGUCAGGUUUACGUGUUGGUGUACGUGCACGUUUCCAGGCUCGGCCGGUUGAUUUCGACACGCGGGUAUGGGAAUAUAGGUUGCUGCGACAUUAGUUUACAGGCACCGCGGGCUUUUGCGAAGCUGCGUGGUUAGCUAAUUCUCGCGGGUUGCUGGCCAGGGCCCGCUGAGAGGUUGCAACACGCCGUUCCAGAAAAACCUGCUACGCUACGCUAGUCUCUUGUUUGUCGCGCGAGGCUUUUGAGUACGCGUUUCGAGGACUCUGUCCUGAUUAGUGAUGCCAUCUUGCGUCCGAGUUUGGAAACGUAGACGGAAAAAUAACAAUCGAGCAGCGCAAGAGGGAGAGGGGGAAACUCGUGCGCGCCUGCGCGGAAGGAAUAGCUGACUUCACUUGUUUUUCAUUUUUUUCCUUGUGGGAAGGGAGGGGACCGCGAGUUGCCUUGUGGAUAAGUUUUCCCGGUGUUCGUGUGUUUUUUUUUGUUUUUCCGGCAUGGCCUAGUUUUGUAGUUAAAACCUCCUUCCAGGGAGGGGCCGAGGCUUUUUGCCUGGGGACCUCUCUGGAAGCCGAGUCCACGUCGGUUUGAAACAACUUUGCUUCGCCACAAGUCAGAAGGGUAAGUGGUUGGCCAUGGCUCGUUCGCCACAAUCAUUUCUUGGACGAUCUUCGUCUUAAUCUUUUAAGUAAUAAUGUAGUAUUCCACCUCUAUUAUUUAUUAUUUGGUUUUGGGAAAAAUCGACGUCUGGUUAUAAGCAUGCAGGUAGUGGUAACUGGGAAGUAUACUAUCCUUCCGCGUAGCUGUGACGACGAGAGAACCGCCAUGUUGUAGAGAUAAUUGUUUGCCGGCUGACGUCACUUUAAUGUGUAUUUAAUGUAUUUAUUUAUUCGUUAAUCCCAUCCCAUUGUAAAAUGAUUUAUUAUUAAUUUGUUAAUCAAAUAUUUGGUUGAUUAUUAUUGUUUUUUUUUAUCCUAGUGAAUAAAAUCUGUGCUUGAAUGAACUAAUCAUGUUUCUUUUCAGUACAUAAAUUAUACCCUACACUUCCUGUAUAGGGAGAAGACUUGAUCUCGAGUACCAUGCUUACCAACAGCUACCACCCCCCAAAUGUUAUAGGUUAUUUAUUGUUAUGUGUAUAGGUGUACGCGGGACGUCUGACGGAGCCCCGUCACAAGUGGUGUGAGGCUUCGGGUAGUCUCUUGUAGGGUUGUUUGUGCUUUAUUUUUUUUUCUCUCUUCUCUUGUUCUUCCGAAUUUAAUAAUGUUUUAUUAUAGAGCAGUGCAAGCAGGGUCGUGUGGGAGCACGCGGCGGACGUGUUGCGUUGUGCUUCACGUAUUUUUAUUAGUAAUGUUACUGUUGUUCUGUUUAAAUUUAAUGGAUAAAAAGUUUUUGGUUUAGUUAAGUUAAGUCAGUGAGUCAGUCAGUCAGUCAGUCAUCGGGUCGUUCAGGUCACCUAUUAGGUUUUAUUAAGUUUUAAUUACGUAAAUUCUAAUGCCGGUUUAAUGAUUAAUUAAUUAAUUUUGAAAAUUAUCAUAAUUAAAUUUCGGUUAAGAAUCUAAGAGUUUGUGUGGAGUUUUUGGUUUAGGAAUGAUGUUAAAACUUGUGUUAAGUAAUGUUAUAGACAGUGCUUGUUGCGGACGUGGAAAGUCAUGUGUCGUGGAGCGGUGACGAGCGGCGCGACGGUCAGCUGUGCGCUGACCUUGAGCGGUUUCCGGCCUGGCGCGACACGGCUCGGCACGGCGCGGCAAGAAUCGUUCCGGCCCGGUGUUUACCGGCCGGCUGGACGUCAGACAGAUAAGUUUUUCACAGUUAUUUUUUUUUUUUUAUGAUUAAUUUUAUGUGCGUCAUUGACUACACCACACCGUCUAAGUUUUUUUUUUUAUGAGUUAACUUAAUAAUUUUAAAGUAUUUAUUUAUUUGUCAUUAUAAUUAUUUUUGUUUUGAUAAUAAUUAAUUUUUUUUUAACUUUUCUUUUCGAAUUAUAGGAGGUACACAUUAGAAGGGAUUAGCUCUGAGAAUAGUGUGAGGUUUGUUUAUUUGUGUAGGUUAAGGGAAUGAACUCCAGGGGAACAGUCUUUGAGAUGAGAGAGUUGUUGUGAUUGUCCAGCCAUAGGAGAUGAGCUGGGACAAUUUGAGGUGUCCCUGGGAGAGUAGGGACGGUAGCGCAGACCCAUAGAAGAUGGGCUGGCUACUGGUUAAGGGUCGGGAGAACCCUGUGUUGUUAGUAGUUGGGGCAGGAGUUCCCCAUGGUAGUACCGGAAGUGGCUAUCCCGUACGGGAUAAGGGUACCACUUCAAUUAAUUUGGUUUGUGGGGUUAGAGUCCCCUGUUGUGUAGUGGGCCUAUAGGAGAUAGGCACUACAGCGAAAUUUUUGGUUGCUCUGGAGGUAAAUUCCCUGGGUUAAGUUAAGGAAUUGUUCUUAAAGUUAGGAAGUAGUGAAAUGUGAAUCAUUAUGGAGAGUGAGUUAGUGUACCUGCCUACGUAUUAAAAUAAAUUUUAUUGAAUUAAUUUAUGAGAAAGUUUAUUGUGUUAAGGAUAAUGGAAGUGAGUUAAUUUUUUUUAAAAUUGGUUUUCUGAGUAAAGUGUUUUAAGUAAUGAAGUUAAAUAAUUAAGUGAGUGGGGACAGUUAUGAUUGAGUAUUUUUGAAUUUAUUUUGUUUAUCAUACUUGGAAUGUAAUGUUUUAAUUUGUUCUCUCAACAUAAUUAAAAUUUAAAUAAGUUUUUUUUACAGUGCCCCUUAUACAUUUAUUGACACAAGAGAUAACAGUUCAAAAUAUUUAUUUUUUUACACGAAAAUUUGUAUUUAGAUUUGUGAUACAGAGAAAUUUUUUUUAAUGAGUUGUUUUGUUUGUGAUUGAUUCUUAUCGGUUUUGUGAAAGUAGUGUUACAGUAAUCAGUUCAGUGGUGACCUGGGACUGGCUUCAUGACUAAGAAGACUGAGCAUGGGGUUGCUGGCUGCACAUCAGAGUGAAUCUGAUGGCACCACCAGUAGCUGUUGUUUCGAGGUGUUGCUGUUUUCACCAGACGAGACCAACCAGCUGCUUGCUGCCUACAGCAUAGCAGAUUUUCACUGGGGAGACAUCCCCGAUGACAUGCUGCGAGGAAGGCAGGCUGAGGGCAGAACUGCUCUGAAGGCUGGAUCCUGGGUGUGAGCUGCAGAUCACACUUCAAGGACUCUUCUCUCCAGCUUCAACUAGGGCUGAUCUGUCCACAGUUCAUGCCUCUCCUAGUUGUAUGUCGUACGAGUAGUUUUACGAUGUGCCAGCCACCAUCGAUUCUUACAGGAAAGAAUUGUUUCCUGGGCUAUUUUGUAUUUUGUAUUGGUUUAACUUUUUCAGUUUAGACUUUGAAUGUAAUUGUUGUGGUAAAACCUAACCUUCGUGCGCUGUCUUGGUCGAGUAGGCAUUUAACUUAUAAAUUUUUGCCCCUUGGUCUUAUUCAUUGUUAGGAAUUUUUAUGGCUUGUGGGGCACAAGCCCUUGUAGACCGGGGUAAUGUCACGGUCUGAAAAUUUCAUUACUUUUUUUUCUUAAAUUUUAUUGUAAUUUUGUUUCUCGUCAGGUUUACGUGUUGGUGUACGUGCACGUUUCCAGGCUCGGCCGGUUGAUUUCGACACGCGGGUAUGGGAAUAUAGGUUGCUGCGACAUUAGUUUACAGGCACCGCGGGCUUUUGCGAAGCUGCGUGGUUAGCUAAUUCUCGCGGGUUGCUGGCCAGGGCCCGCUGAGAGGUUGCAACACGCCGUUCCAGAAAAACCUGCUACGCUACGCUAGUCUCUUGUUUGUCGCGCGAGGCUUUUGAGUACGCGUUUCGAGGACUCUGUCCUGAUUAGUGAUGCCAUCUUGCGUCCGAGUUUGGAAACGUAGACGGAAAAAUAACAAUCGAGCAGCGCAAGAGGGAGAGGGGGAAACUCGUGCGCGCCUGCGCGGAAGGAAUAGCUGACUUCACUUGUUUUUCAUUUUUUUCCUUGUGGGAAGGGAGGGGACCGCGAGUUGCCUUGUGGAUAAGUUUUCCCGGUGUUCGUGUGUUUUUUUUUGUUUUUCCGGCAUGGCCUAGUUUUGUAGUUAAAACCUCCUUCCAGGGAGGGGCCGAGGCUUUUUGCCUGGGGACCUCUCUGGAAGCCGAGUCCACGUCGGUUUGAAACAACUUUGCUUCGCCACAAGUCAGAAGGGUAAGUGGUUGGCCAUGGCUCGUUCGCCACAAUCAUUUCUUGGACGAUCUUCGUCUUAAUCUUUUAAGUAAUAAUGUAGUAUUCCACCUCUAUUAUUUAUUAUUUGGUUUUGGGAAAAAUCGACGUCUGGUUAUAAGCAUGCAGGUAGUGGUAACUGGGAAGUAUACUAUCCUUCCGCGUAGCUGUGACGACGAGAGAACCGCCAUGUUGUAGAGAUAAUUGUUUGCCGGCUGACGUCACUUUAAUGUGUAUUUAAUGUAUUUAUUUAUUCGUUAAUCCCAUCCCAUUGUAAAAUGAUUUAUUAUUAAUUUGUUAAUCAAAUAUUUGGUUGAUUAUUAUUGUUUUUUUUUAUCCUAGUGAAUAAAAUCUGUGCUUGAAUGAA